CAAGGAAUCUUCCGCAAUGGGCGAGGAGCCUGACGGAGCAACGCCGCGUGGGGGAUGACGCCCUUCGGGGUGUAAACCCCUUUUCUGUGGGAAGAAGGCCCCGGCCACGGGGCUUGACGGUACCACCGGAAGAAGGACCGGCUCACUACGCGCCAGCAGCCGCGGUAAUACGUAGGGUCCGAGCGUUGUCCGGAGUUACUGGGCGUAAAGGGCGCGCAGGCGGCGGUGCUGGCCCGGCGUGAAAGCCCCCGGCUCAACCGGGGAGGGUCGUCGGGGACCGCACCGCUUGAGGGCGGUAGGGGCCGGUGGAAUGCCUGGUGUAGUGGUGAAAUGCGUAGAGAUCAGGCGGAACACCUGGGGCGAAGGCGGCCGGCUGGGCCGUCCCUGACGCUGAGGCGCGAAGGCGUGGGGAGCGAAC
rnacentral:rRNA from 1 species